rnacentral:rRNA from 1 species
CCCAGACUCCUACGGGAGGCAGCAGUGGGGAAUAUUGGGCAAUGGGCGCAAGCCUGACCCAGCAACGCCGCGUGCAGGAAGAAGGUUUUCGGAUUGUAAACUGCUUUAGAUAGGGAAGAAGAAAAGACAGUACCUAUAGAAUAAGCUCCGGCUAACUACGUGCCAGCGGCCGCGGUAAUACGUAGGGAGCGAGCGUUAUCCGGAAUUAUUGGGUGUAAAGGGUGCGUAGACGGGAACUUAAGUUAGUUGUGAAAUCCCUUAGCUCAACUAAGGAAUGGCAACUGAAACUGGGUUUCUUGAGUGCAGGAGAGGAAAGUGGAAUUCCUAGUGUAGCGGUGGAAUGCGUAGAUAUUAGGAGGAACACCGGUGGCGAAGGCGACUUUCUGGACUGUAACUGACGUUGAGGCACGAAAGUGUGGGGAGCAAACAGGAUUAGAUACCCGUGUAGU